ACGAAAGAUUGACGAUUGGUAAGAAUCCACAACAAGUUGUUCUUCAUACGAUGUAUCUGAGGGUCUGUAGCUCAGUUGGUUAGAGCACACGCUUGAUAAGCGUGGGGUCACAAGUUCAAGUCUUGUCAGACCCACCACUAUCUGACUACAGAAGAAAAGAUACAUUGACUUAUUGAUAAGCUGGGGACUUAGCUUAGUUGGUAGAGCGCCUGCUUUGCACGCAGGAGGUCAGGAGUUCGACUCUCCUAGUCUCCACCAUACAUUCCUACGGAAUGUAUAAAGACAAAAGCUAAUAAAUAGACAAUCAGUUGAUUGUUAGUUUAGUCCUUAAGCGAUCAAGUGAUGAGAUCCUAGAGAUUAACAAGUACAGGCGUUAUGAUACGCGCACUUGAUAAUCUCUGUGAUUUAUCACAGUUUCCUGACCUGACGAAGGCUGGAAAAUCAUUAACAGAAUAUAUUUGAGUUGAAAUAAUUUGUUCAUACUCGUUUUAUCUAACACUAACAGUGAUUUAUUACUGCGAUGUGAAAGAGAGAAUGAGUUACUAGCGAAAUUAACUGAAUCAAGCGUUUUGGUAUAUGAAUCUAAUUGAAGCUGUACGGUGCUUAAGUGCACAAACGCCAACUGUAUGAGCGUGAUGAGAAAUCAUCACAAUCUGUUGCUUAUCCCACUUGUAAGGAUAAACGACUGUUUGGGGUUGUAU
rnacentral:tRNA from 1 species